rnacentral:rRNA from 1 species
AUACGUAGGGGGCAAGCGUUAUCCGGAAUUACUGGGUGUAAAGGGAGAGUAGGCGGCCCUUCAAGUCAGAGGUUAAAGGCAUUGGCUCAACCAAUGUAAGCCUUUGAAACUGUAGGGCUUGAGUGCAGGAGAGGAGAGUGGAAUUCCUAGUGUAGCGGUGAAAUGCGUAGAUAUUAGGAGGAACACCAGUGGCGAAGGCGUCUCUCUGGACUGCAACUGACGCUGAGGAACGAAAGCGUGGGUAGCGAACAGGAUUAGAUACCCUGGUAGUCCACGCUGUAAACGAUGAGUGCUAGGUGUCGGGGGCGACAGUCUUCGGUGCCGCAGUUAACACAUUAAGCACUCCGCCUGGGGAGUACGGUCGCAAGACUGAA